rnacentral:rRNA from 1 species
AAGCUCGUAGUUGAAUUUCGGGGUUAGUAGGUUGGUCAUGCCUCUGGUAUGUACUGGUCUCACUGAUUCCUCCUUCCUUAUGAAUCGUAAUGCCAUUAAUUUGGUGUCGCGGGGAAUUUGGACUGUUACUUUGAAAAAAUUAGAGUGUUUAAAGCAAGCUAACGCUUGAAUACAUCAGCAUGGAAUAAUGAAAUAGGACGUUCGAUCUUAUUUUGUUGGUUUCUAGGAUUGACGUAAUGAUUAAUAGGGAUAGUUGGG